UGAGAGUCCACCUGGCAAGCUGAUAUGCAGGUGAGAAGUCUUCAUGCAGCAUCCCAGGAAAGAUCUUCACUGCACAGCACAUCACAACCUGCCAACAAACAAGCUUUACAACACUAGAAACUUAACCCGGUAGCAGCAGGGAUCAUGUUUCUUAAUGGUCCCUCUAAGCAAAAAAAAUGAGAAAUCAUCACUCACACAAACCAUUUCAUAAUAUAUAUCGAAGCAUUUGUGAUCAGUUUAUGUAUCAUCUAUUUUGGGGGGGGUCAAAUUGUGGCACAAAUUUGGCCCGUCGCUGCUACACGGUAAAGCCACAAAUUUGGCCUGUCACUGCUACCGGGUUAAAGAGUAAAUCAAAUCAACAAGUAUACAAUGGAAGUCAAAAUACAAGUUGUGAGUCAUAACUUGAUAAACUGAGUCGGUAACUGCCACACACAUAGAGAACUAAUCCCGACACGACGAGGGCUGCACAGCUAGUACUUAAAGUGAGACUGGGUAGCAAGAAGAAAAUCAAUUAAGUGUUGGAAUGGAACAUGGUCAACACUCACCUGAUUAUAUAGAAGUAGUUGAGGUACAUUUACACCUGGCGAGGGAAAGUGUUCAUCCGCUGUGAGGGUUUGGGACUUGCUAAACCAUGGGACUUGAGGCUCAGAAGUGGGUGAGUUGAGCCUCGGAGGAGUGUGUGAGCAGGUAAACCAAACAUUAAGAUGAUGCAAUGAGCCAAAUUUGAACUCUUCUUCCCUUGUCUCAAUCUUCUCCUCCCUCACUCCUCUUCUUCCCAGUAACGAAGUCCUUCCCUCACUACUCCUCUUCCUCCUCCUCUCUUCAAUAACCAAAUACCUCCUCUGGCCUCUGCUCCUCCUCCUCCUCUUCCCAAUAGCCAAGUACCUCCCUCACUCCUCUUCUUCCUUCUCUCUUCAAUAACCAAAUACCUCCUCUGGCCUCUGCUCCUCCUCCUCUCUCCCCAAUAGCCAAGUACCUCCCUCACUCCUCUUCCUCCUUCUCUCUUCAAUAACCAAAUACCUCCUCCUCCUCUCCCCAGUAACCAAGUACCUCCCUCACUCCUCUUCCUCCUCCUCCUCCUCCUCCCAGUAAGCAAGUAACCAAGCGUGUCAAGGUGCCUCAAGUUGUUUUCCUUUCUUAACACACGUACAACAUCAAUGAUAGGGAGCAAAUAAGUGACGAUUAAACAAUGUAUUAAUGUAAGAUAUUCCCAAAGGCUUGUACAUCAGCUCUGUCUUAGCCUUGAAACAUACAAAGGACAUCAAAACUCUCUCUCUCUCUCCCUCUUUCUCUCUCUCUGAAGCAAUACUAACUCCCUGACAGCUGAUACAAAGACCCACAGAAGCGUAAUAAUUAAAAAUAUACAUAAUUCCAGCAAUAAUGCAACCCCAUGGCACUAUACUGUCCAUCUGCUUGCAUGUAUGUAUGAUGUAUGUAUAUGUAUGCAUGUAUUAUGAAUGUGUGUAUGUAUCUAUGUCUUUAAAUUUGUAGAAUUGAUAACAGGUGGCUUAUUAUCAUUAUAUUUUACAGAGGAUUAAAUUGAGCAGUUAUUACGGAUGAUUAAGAAACUUGGAUACAUUGAUACCAAAGCUCAUUCAACCUUGACCAGAAGAAGAGAGAAGCUUUUGUGUGAGUGUGGAGUGUGGAGUGGGUUGGCAAUACUGGUGACAUAGAAAAUGGAGUUCACCUGUUGCUUAAGUAGAUAAGGAGUGGAUGAGUACAUGUAGCAAAAAGGAGACAAAGAAAAGAAAAAAGGAGGCAAAAGGAAAGGAAAGCAAGGAAAAGAAAGGAAAGGACAACAAUAAUACAGAAAGGAGGAAGCAAAAGGAAAUGAAGGGAAAAGAAACAGAACCAAAGGAAAGGAAAGCAAAAGGAAAAGGGUAACGAACAAAGAAACA